CACGGGGUUGCGAGCGUUGUCCGGAAUUACUAGGCGUAAAGGGCAGGCAGGCGGAUCCAUAAGUUUAUCGUUUAAGGCGUCGGCUUAACCGGCGUAGGGCGGUAGAUACUGUGGAUCUGGAAUGCGGUUGGGGAAGACAGAAUUCCUGGUGUAGCGGUGGAAUGCGCAGAGAUCAGGAGGAAUACCGAAGGCGAAGGCAGUCUUCCAAGCCGUUAUUGACGCUCAACUGCGAAGGUGUGGGUAUCAAGCAGGAUUAGAUACCCUGGUAGUCCCU
rnacentral:rRNA from 1 species